rnacentral:rRNA from 1 species
UACGUAGGUGGCAAGCGUUGUCCGGAAUUAUUGGGCGUAAAGAGCUCGUAGGCGGCCUGUUGCGUCCGCUGUGAAAGCCCGGGGCUUAACCCCGGGUCUGCAGUGGAUACGGGCAGGCUAGAGGUAGGUAGGGGAGAAUGGAAUUCCCGGUGUAGCGGUGAAAUGCGCAGAUAUCGGGAGGAACACCGGUGGCGAAGGCGGUUCUCUGGGCCGUUACUGACGCUGAGGAGCGAAAGCGUGGGGAGCAAACAGG